rnacentral:tRNA from 1 species
GGGGGUGUAGCUCAACUGGGAGAGCAUCUGCCUUGCACGCAGAAGGUCGCAGGUUCGAUCCCUGUCACCUCCA